GAUGAACGCUGGCGGCGUGCCUAAUACAUGCAAGUCGAGCGAACGGACGAGAAGCUUGCUUCUCUGAUGUUAGCGGCGGACGGGUGAGUAACACGUGGAUAACCUACCUAUAAGACUGGGAUAACUUCGGGAAACCGGAGCUAAUACCGGAUAAUAGUUUGAACCGCAUGGUUCAAAAGUGAAAGAGGGUCUUGCUGUCACUUAUAGAUGGAUCCGCGCUGCAUUAGCUAGUUGGUAAGGUAACGGCUUACCAAGGCAACGAUGCAUAGCCGACCUGAGAGGGUGAUCGGCCACACUGGAACUGAGACACGGUCCAGACUCCUACGGGAGGCAGCAGUAGGGAAUCUUCCGCAAUGGGCGAAAGCCUGACGGAGCAACGCCGCGUGAGUGAUGAAGGUCUUCGGAUCGUAAAACUCUGUUAUUAGGGAAGAACAUAUGUGUAAGUAACUGUGCACAUCUUGACGGUACCUAAUCAGAAAGCCACGGCUAACUACGUG
rnacentral:rRNA from 1 species